AGCGAGCCUCAAGGUCCCUCAGCCACCUGUUUGAGUUCUUUAGAUACUGAUCAUCAGCCCAUGGAGACCGGCUAGGUCCAAAGGGAGAACUCCCUGAGCAUCUCUACCAGUGCUGUUGCCAGACUCUGACUAGCUUUCUUCGAAUUUCCCCAUGAAAUGUGAAAGAAAAAGAACUGCCCGCCAGCCACUGUUUCUGGUAUUAACAGCUGACGCCAGCUGUCCCAUGGGGAUCCAUGGCCGCUUAGGUGUUGAAGAGACACCGUUAACGAAGAGGAGCUUGCUGCAUACAGGAUUUCUAUUUUAGGCUUCCUGCUAGUAAAUACAAGUCUGUUUACACUGACUCGAGUCUGGGACAUGCUCUAGCUGCACGAUGGCUGUUUGAAGCACACCUUAAAUGUGGUCUUUGAAACUCUGAGCUGUGGUACAUGUGGUCAGGUCUCUUUCUUUUUCUCUACCAUGUGGAAUUGGAAACUUCUUCAGUGGCUCGCAUCGUGUUCACGUGAACAAGAGAGAGACAGCCAGCCAGAGAGGGAACACAGCAGGGAGAGUGGGAGAGGAAGAAGCAGACUCCCAGCAGGGAGCCCGAUGUGGGUCUCUAUCCCAGAACGCCGCCGGGAUCACGCCCUGAGCCAAAGGCAGACGCUUAACGACUGCGCUACCCAGGCGCCCCUGAUAAUUGUCUUUUAACCAGGACUCCUGGACCAUUCAAGUAAUGCAAACGCAAACCCCUGAUCCACCCAUAUGAAGGUGAGAAUGUGAUGAUGAGAUUACAAGGGACACUUCUUUUUCUUCUACUCAUAGCCCAGGCUCAACAGACAAGAUUAUGUGGCAUCUCCCUUUGCAGGUGAGCAGAAUGUUUCCUUAUAAAAUUUUUCCCAGCUUUACAUGAAGGCCUUAAUUUUAACUCUCUACCUGGUAUAGACUCAAGGCCUCAUAUUCAAUGUUCUGUGGACCUAAAAAACCCAAUCUAAAUUUAAAAGAGUGAAUCCUAAAAGCCUAAAAACUCAAUCCUCUCAGUACCUGCCUCAACAGCCAGGGUUGUCUCAUCUGUUCACUUGCUGACUGUGCUCAUUUUCAACUCCUACUUGUUUUCCCUUGUGGGGAUCUUCUUUAUUUUCUUGUGAGCUCAGCUUUGCAUUUAGAAAAAAACUCUUUAAAAGAUAUUUUGUUUAGCAUUUCUAAAAACUUUGAGAGAGGAGAGUUUUCAGGUCAUCUAAUUUGUCAUGUUGUAGGAAAUGGGAACCCCCCCAAGACAUAAUAGACAAAAGCACUAAUUUGAUUACUCUUUAUUACCCAGACAUUAAAAAUCAAGCUCUUUAGCCUAACCUUUAGGAAACCUUUAGUUUGUCUCAUAAAUGCUUUCCUGAGAAAUUCUCUGCUGAAGAGAAUGUCGUAUAUUCUAGCCACACUGACAUCUCAUAGUUACUCCUGCUUCUAUAAACUUCCACACAUCUACAACCAUCAGACUUAAGCUAUACCGAACCUUUCUGAAGGGUCCUUCUCUCCUUUCACAAACUUCUAUUUUUUUGGCCAAAGCCAACCUCAAACACUGGCUGCACUGUAAAACAUACUCCAACUUCCCGAAACGUAAUGAAUCAAACCCUCUGCUCCCAUUGCAUUCAAACAUACCUUGUUUAUAAUCCGUAUCAUAUUGACCGAAGUGUUUUUACAUCUUUAGACUUACAUCUUUUAGAGAGCCAGAGAAAGAUUUUAUCCAUCAUUCUCAACAUAUAUAGUACAAUAUCUGGCAUAUAGUAGGCACUCAGAGAUGUUACAGCAAUUUUAUUCAAUCGCAAGGCUACUCAAUUCUUGCCUGGAGAAAUAUAACUUGAAAUUAUAAUGCUUUCAGGUGUUAUAAGCAGUCUCAUAAUUGAAAAUCUCUGCAUAGCUGCUAAUUGUCAGUGGUGUCAGGUUAGUCACAAUACAGAACAAAUACGUUCAGUAUAACCCCUGCCUGUAAUUUUUAUUAGAAGGUAGUUCUGAUUUACGAAUAAUUCCCAACUUCUGUAUCUGAAUGAGUAGUCACUUAUAAUCUAGGAAAGACAGCAUAGCUACAAGACAUAGUGAAAACAAUACAAAACACCACCAGACUGUCUUACUCGUUGUUGUAACUCCAUAGCAUAGGACUGGCACGGGAGCAAGGGCCCAAUGAACACAUGAAUGAGUAGACAAGAGGUUGUAUAAUAAAUAAAAGAUACUUUAACCAAAUGGCAGACGAAGAAAGUUACAAGACUUGUCUGACUCCACUACUUGUAUUGUGUCUUACUCGUCUUUGUAUAUGCCUGGCAUACAGUGAAUACUGAAGAAACGAAUGAAUGAAUAAAUGAUUGAAAAAAAUUAAUUAGGUUGAGACUGAAUACGUGAGAACAUUCCAGAUCAAGAGAGGGAAACCGAAAGGCCAACACUUUGAAUGAAAAGGAAAAAAUUAACUUUCAUAAAUCUUUUGGGUUUUGCUUCAUUCAUGCUAUGUUUGAUCCCCUUGUUUGAUCCCCUUGUCCAUCCAUCCAUUCAUCCAUCCAUCCAUCCAUCCAUUGUUCAUUCACUCAGGAAACACUUCCCAAGCAUCUACUGUGAGCCAAGCACUGUGCUUUUGGUUUGGGAAUUUUAGUUUGGUGUUGAGAAAAGCUUGUUGAUUUUCUGCAGUAAAUGGUUACCAUUAGCAUGCUAGGAGUGAAUGUUUCUUAAAACUUUCAUUCUGUGGUCUAUGAGUUCAUUUAUUCAUUUAUUUAGCAAACAUCUUUGAGCAUGUCCUCUCUGCCAGACUCUGUGUGAGGCACCAGGGAUUCAUUCUUUAUUUUAUGUAUUCAUUCAUUCAGUAAACAAUUCUUAAGUACCCAAUAAGUGCCAGGCAUAGAUGGGGUCUCUGCUUUCAAAGAGCUUACAUGGUAAUAGUGGUAAGGUUCAGGCAAUAGACAAAUAAAUAAACACACUAGAUAACGAUAAGGCAAAAUGCUAAUAAAAUUGGGAUGUGCUAAAGAGUGCUAUAUGUCUGUCUAUACUAUUGACGUGGUCUCUGACCUCAGAGAGCCAGAGAUUUCUAAGGACCAGAGCUAUCGCCAGAUGAUCUGAGUGCUGCCUACCUGGAUUCUUUUGACAUGCGGAGCCCUAUGUGAGCAUAUAUGAGUGCGACCUGGCCUGGAGGCAGGAAUCCGGGUCUUGGAGAGAAUGGAGCCAGAAGGACAAGCCCCACGUGGAGGCCCCUCUGGCCUGCACAGCAUGUCACCAGGGACAGAGCUCCUUGCCCUGUGGCCCAGGCUGACCCGCCUGAGCUGUCUACUGGGAGGGUAAAUAUCUGCCUUCAAGCCACUCACCAUGCCCCCCCUGGCUGGGAACUUUGACUCAGUGUUGACCUGGUUUUGAACUAGUGACCUGGAGGUGAAUGACUCCGUAUCUCAUUACUAAUUCCCCACAGCCACUCAGUUCCUCCUGCCAGCCACAAGCAAGAGAGUUUGGCCGGGACAGGAACAGAAGUCCAGCCAGGAGCCCUGAACCCAUCAGCCACAGCAUCCACCCUGGCUUUAGCCCCUGCCAUCUGGCCUCCUACCAUUCCCCCCAUCCUUUAGCCUGGUCUGACUGAACAGGUUUUGGAAGAGGCCAAGGUCACCCCGGGCCGACCUCCACAGAUGGAUUCAGCCUGAGACUGCAGCUGUGGUCUAGCUCAACCACGAAUCCUCAGGGCCAAGACGUACUCCUUCAUCAUGGUGGAUCAUCAUUAAGCCAAAUGAGGUGUGGGCAUCAACCAGGCACUCUUGCCUUUCAAGACACCAUCAUCACUCCUCUGGGGUUAAUGUUCAAGGAAGUUGAGUUCCAUCCGGGAACCUGGGAACAUACUGGUGAGAACACAUGACUGGGAAGCAUUGCAGGGGCUCAGUCAAGAAAUGUCAGCAAGAACCAGUCCCCAUGGUUCCUUGGGCCAAAGCCUAGCACUCUCGGGAGAAACCUGAGACAUAAAGGAGCACUGGCUCUCCAGACUGAGGCUGGACGUUCUCCUCAGAGGAACCAGGCUGGAGCUGUUGGAGGGUGAGUGGGGGGUGGUUAGGACGUCAGAAACACUGAAUUCUUGCUCUAAUGGGGAUAAUUACUUUGUGCUUCAUAUUGCUGCCAUGCAAGUUGGCAUAAAAUGUGUUCUUUUUUGUAGGGGUUUAGGAUACAGGGAAGUGAAAACGCUUUGUCUUUUCUAAAAAGUAUAGCUUUAACCAUCAAUCACACUUUAAGUAUGCUUCUCUGAGAGCAUGUAUCACCUUAUACUGAACUAUUCUCUUCAUGCAUUUAUUUCCUCCACUAGACUGUGCUUGAUCAUUUCUUGUAAGGAAGUGAGUAAGCGAAUGAUGAAGGUGAUGGCUAUGUAAGUAGCCCACACAGAGUGAAUUCAACCUUUAUUCUGCGUCUCUUUGAAUUUAUCUCAGAGCUUAUUUCAACCACAGUCAUAUCCAAUAAUUCAGAUGCUAAAAAUAAUCUGGUGUAGAACAAUUAAAAUCAACAUUUACAGGAAAGAUAAAUUAAGGUAUGAUGUUUUAGUUUAUGAUACAUUAAUUCAAAAUGGUGAGCUUCAUGGGGCACCUGCGUGGCUCAGUCGGUUAAGCAUCUGACUCAUGAUUUUGGCUCAGGUCAUGACCUCAGGGGUAGUGAGAUGGAGCCUCCAGGAGGGCUCUGCACUCAGCAGGGAGUCUGCUUGAGAUUCUCCCUCUCCCUCUCCCUCUGCCCCUUCCCCCAGUCACAUAUACACACACUCUCUCUCUCUAAAAUAAAUAAAUCUUUAAAAAAAAAAGAUAAAAUGGUGAGCUUCAGAACUGUGUAUGGGUUCAUUCAGAUAAAGCCAGCUUGCUCCCAGUCUCGAACUGUACUGCUCAGGUUACAAGAGGGGAGAAAUGUUUAUCGCCAGAAAUCAGCUGGCAACACGUUUCUUGUGAUCACAAAGCACAAAGUGUUGGCUCUAACAUACGAUCAGAUUGUGUGUCUCCUAGGAGCUUAUUGUCCACCACCCUCAGAUGCAUCCUUAGACUUGCCAAGCUCAGACAGUCAGAAAACCACUCAAGGGCAUUUUGCUCUUUACCACACGGCCAGCAUUUGAGCAACGACUUUAUAGGGGAACAACUUCUCUAAACUUUGCCCCAGUAUCAUUUUCCCUGCUUUCACUCCCAGCUGUAGUUCAUAUUAGGGAAAUCGCACUUUAUACUGGACACUUCUCUGAACACAGAAAUUCCUACUAUUCUUAGAGAACAAAAAGCCACAGUGGGGAAUAAAAGACUUGCCUGCAUUCGUUUGGCACUGACCUCUCAGCCUAUGACUUCUGGGCUUCCAAAUAAGGCUUGUUUCCCCCCUUCUCAUUUUUUUUUAUCGGCCCUUUUGUCCCCUACGUACACAAAACUCAGCUAAAUAUACUUAAUUUACAGAGUCCAUUUUCAUGCUCACCAUGCGUCAAGGUUAUUUUAUACCACUUUACUUUCUCUGUGACCUUGAUCAACUCACUAUGCUUCCCCCUUUGGACAUCACUUUCUUUAUCUUCAUCUUUAAUGGAAAAUGAGCAGGGUGCCUGGGUGUCUCAGAUGGUUAAGCAUCUGCCUUCAGCUCAGGUCAUGAUCCCAGGGUUCUGGAAUCGAGUCCCGCAUGGGGUUCCCUGCUCGGCGGGGAGCCUGCUCCUCCCUCUCCCUCUGCUGCUUGUGCUCUCUUGCUCUCUCCGUCAAAUAAAUACAUAAAAUCUUAAAAAAAAAAAAAGAAAAUGAGCAACUUGAUGGUUUCAGAGUUUCCCUCUGGUUUGGAGUGUGUUUUUCUGUUCAUCACAGUAAUCCUGGUUCCUGGCAUGGUCCCUGGCACAGAGGGAGAGCUUAAUAAACAUUUGUUGCAUUCGUGAAUUAAUCCAAUGAGGUAGUGAAUCCAUCAAACACAUGAUACUGAAGCGGGAAUAGGGGCUUAGUUUUAAGUUCUAACUGUGUCAUUAGCUCACUGGGUGAACUUGGUCAGUUGUAAGGCCCCUCUGUAAGCCAGAGAGGAAACAAGACUUACCCAAGUUCAUAGAGCUAGUAAGAGCAGAACGAGGGCUAGAACUCAGGUCUUCUGAUUUUCUUCUAUAAAGAUGCACUGACUAGAAAUCAGCUGUUUUUUAAAUUAGGAGAGGGCAUCAAAGACCCACUGAUAAUCACUUUUCUAUCCAGACCCUGGAUUUAGAGCAACAACCACAAAUUUGAAGAACACAUGGCUUCAAGAAAGGGGCCCUCCAGAGGGCCUCUAACCAACAAUUUCUUCUUACCUGCCAAGUGGAGAUAAGCAACCACCAAGUGGGCUAGGUGAUAUGGGCGGAUGUGACAGCCCUGCUCAGCCAGGGGUUGCAGUUUCCUCCUAGAGGCAGCUCAUGUCUGGGCUGGUGACAAAGGCGUCUCCUUCUACUAUCGUCUAGUGUGGGAGCCAGCAUCUAGAAAGGGGACUUGAAAGGAGGAACUUAAAUAAGAACAGUUUCCUUUGACACAAACAUUCUGUAAGGGCAGAGAUGGCCUCUAUUCUUGUUGUCAGUGACCCUGGUGGCUAGCUGUCUUCUUGAGGUGACCCUAAGCUGGAGUGGGGAUGCCCCAGUGUCAUUUGGGUUCUUCCUGUAAGCUCAUCUCUACCUUCAACGUCCCCCACUGCUCCGCAGAUAGGAUAAUUGUCACCUUCUCCUUAGCUGGCACAGAGACUCGAGGGUAGGCUUGAAACCCCAGGACACAGGGGCACCUGGGUGGCUCAGUUGUUAAGCAUCUGCCUUCAGCUCAGGGCCUGAUCCCAGAGUCCUGGGAUCGAGCCCCACAUCGGGGUCCUCCUCUAGGAUCCUGCUUCUUCCUUUCCCACUCCCCCUGCUUGUGUUCUCUCACUGGCUGUUUCUCUCUCUGUCAAAUUAAUUUAAAAAAAAUCUUAAAAAAGAAAAAGAAACCCCAGGACAUAGUCUCACUAUCUGAGGGAACGCAAAGUUUGCUGUGAAAGGCAUGAGCUUUGGGGUCAAACAGACCUGGACUUGCAUCCAGUUUUGCUGCUUAUUAGCUGUGUGACUUCAGGCUAGAUAUUUACUGCUUUGGUUUACUCAUCUGUCAAAUGCGAAUCAUUAAAAGCUACUUCACGAGAUUUUUUGUGAAGAUUAAGUGUCCAACAUUUCUAAAACACCUAAUGCAAUGAGAGAAAUACAAUAAGCACUAAAUAAAUACUAGCUAAACAAUUCCUUGUUGCCCUCCAGUUCCCUGGAGUUUAAGAGCCCCGUUGGAAAAGGGAGGGAAGGAGGAGUGAGGUGGGUUAUGGGCCUUCUGCUUUAGUUAAAGCAAAUGUUCUGUUACCUGUUAUCUGUCUGUUCCCUGUUAUCUCUGUCUGUUCCCUUCUAAGCAAAGUCUGAAAUCUCUGCUCUAGUUCAAUUCCUUCAUGUAGCAAAUGAGGAAGCAGAGACCCAGAGACCUUAGAAAUGUCCCGUGGCUAUUCCACGAUGAUGCUGGGAGCCAAAAUCCUGUGGUGGCUAAAAGCACAGAUUCUGCAAUUAUGCUGUUUGGGUCAGGUGUCUGUUCCAUCAGGGCUUAGCUGUGUAAUCUUGAACUAGUUACUUAUCCCCCUUGUGCUUCAAUUUCCUCAUCUUGCAAGUGGAGGUUAACAGUGCCUGCUUCCAGGGGUUUUUGUGAAGAUUAAAUGCAUUUUUAUAUCUAAAGUGUUUGGAAUGGCAUCUGACAUAUAGUGAUUGUCUAGCAAUAGUGAUUAUUAUUAGAAGACUUGGACCCCACUUCACAGUCUGGUAAAAUUUAAUUGUGAGUAGGAUACUAACUUUUAGUCUGUGCACAUCCUUCACUGCAACCCAGAUUUUUACGAGGCAAAAAAGAGCUUCAGCUGGCUGUGACCAACUCGGACACAUCCUGAAGUGUCAUUGUCUCCCCCAGCUCUGAAGCUUGGGCCAGGCACCUUUGCUGAGAGAGUGAGUGGUGAAUAGAUUUAGUUGAAUGAAAGGGAAAAACCCAGUCCGGACAAAACAAGGGCCCAAGAAGAGAAGCUCUAUCCUAAGCAAUUUCCUCCUCAACAGAUAUCACUGGGGAGAAACUUGUGGAACAGAAGUGGGACCGGUUGGGCACCAUUUUGACCACUAGAGGUCAGUGGAAUGUUUGCUAACAAUGGAGUGUGGGUUCCUGAGGAGAGGUAGUGUCCACAGCAAGAUUAGCCAUAGUACCGCCACCACCUUCCCUUGGUGGAUCUGGGUUUGGUCUGCUUUCCAGGAACCUACGCCAUGCACAGUUGUUCCCUCAUCCCUUCUGUGACCAGGCAGCAUUGGCAAGGCAAGGCUCUGGGCCAACGACGGAGGGUAUGGUACACUAGGGUUCCCUUUCUCCUGGAAAGCCAGCCUGCCCAAAUAUCCAGGACUGUCAGUGGCCUUCAUUCUCUAACAAAUCCGGUACAAACUCUUCAAGGCCUUCAUGGGGUUGGCUUCCCUGACUUCCAUCCUUCCAUCUUCAGCAUCAUGUCAUUUCAUUUCUCCACCCAUCUCUGCUCACUCUCUGCUCUCUUUCUCCAUCACAGACCCAUCUGUAAGACCCUCGCUUUUCUCUGAUGCCUGCGGAAAACACCAUAAAUAAAUCCGUGUUCUCCAUACGAGAUAUUCUGUAACGUGGUGUUCCUCUCCUAUGCUAUUUACCACAUACUGCUGUGGAUGACCGUUUUUCCUGCAGUUGCCCUGGCUCUUGUACCAGACUGUGAGCUCCUUGAGGACUUGGACCGUGAAAUAUUUAUAUUUUUGUAAAUGCAGAUGCACAGUUCUGAGUCGAAAUGUGAUGUUCAUCACUAUUUGCUGAAUGAACAUAUGAGUGAAAGAAUGAGCAUGGCCGCUAUUCAAACACAGAACAUAUUUUUCACUACAGCUUACAGGCCCAAACUGGUAUGCAAGAACCUCUGUGCAGGAAGAGAGAGAUCCAGAAGCUUCCCAGGGGCUAUCCACGUCAGACUGCAUCAAGGCAAGCUGGUGCCUUAGUAUCCCCACUUUGCUGGCAUUCACCCAUGGUCAUGUUCUUUUCCUUUUCCUGGAAACAUAAUUAGGUUACGUAUUCUCACCUCCCUUGCAAUUAGAUGUCAUCAUGUGACUAACUUAUGGCCAACAGAAUGGGAGCAAAGUGAUGUGUACUUCUUCCCAGCUUGGCAAAUAGAAACGUACAAGGUACCAUCUCCAAUUUCUUUCUCCCAGAGGGCCUUCUAGAAAAGGUGGAGUUGGGAGUAGAUAGGUGCAUGUAUCCCUAUAUGACCCCAUGCAAAGUCCAUCUGCUGACUAUGAGCAAGAAAUUAGCCUUUUGAAAAUUUUUAUUUCUCAAUAUCUGCUUUUCUUGGUAAUUAGAUUAUAAUGUGUUAACAUGAUUAUUGUCUGUAUCUUUUGGGUUCCCAUUGUUUCAGUGGGCAUUAACCGACUGCUUUAAAAGCUUCUAAGAUAAGAAUCUAUAACAUUAACACACCCUGGCACAUGAUUUUUUUAAUUUAAGAAAAGAUUCAUUUGGAAUUUUAUUUCUAGCAUAAAAUUUCCUCAUCUGAAGUAACUUUGCCCAAAAAGGGUCAUUUUAACGAACUAUGAUUUCUGAAAACUUUCUUGUUUAUUAGUUGAGAAAGCCCCUUAUUUUUCAACAAAGGGGAUUUUGUACAUAUAGCAUGGAUUACUUAGUUAAACUCUGACAAAAGCAAUUUUGAUAUAUUGAGAUAUUUGUACACAGUUCAGUAUAAAAUUGUCAUGAACAUGUUAGUCAACCAUUUAACAGUAGAGCAUAUCUGACGCUGCUUGGUACUGAGCACACUUAAAUUUAAUUCCAGAAACUGGGGACUUGGUAUCAAAAGGGAAAGAGAGCAUUUCAAGGUAUAACUAGAUUCAUAUUUGGAACUUGAAAUGUAUUUUUCUCUUAGUAUUGCCAAUGACUGAAACUCUCAUAAAGUAAAUAAAUGAGAGGGGAAAGAACAAGAAAGUGAAAAAUGAAGAGAACAAAAGCAGUGUUAUGAGAACAGUUUUAGUUUGAGAAAGACUCACAGUCACAACAGAAUUCGAAGUGUUAAUUUAUUUGAAACAUGUCCCAAAUUUCCAAAAUCUCCUUCUCUGCCAAAAUCAUUGCAUUUCAUGGUUGAUGUUUGAAUUUUAAAAGAGUCAAAUCUUUUUAUUUUCUGUAUUUUUAGAAAGCAGCAGGAGAAGAAAGCGGUGGGUCUAAUUCCCCAGAGAGAAAACUGACACUUCUUAAUUUUUUAUGAAAUUUUCUCGUCUUUUCAAUUAACUUUCUCUAAUGUAAAUACAAAUUUAAACCUAUACUCAAUAUAGGAUUUUUCCCCUUUGUCAAAGUGAUGUCACAAAUCAAUGUAAAUUCCAUAAUCCGAGACGCUUGGUGGGUAAAAAGAAUCCUAGGUGUUUCUGGAGGGUGAGUUGACAUGUAAAAAAUCGCACUGGUUACAGUGUGUUCUGGAACUGGUUCUCUUUGACUGUGUGUGUACGAUGAUGCAAAGUUGAAACAGAGCCUGGAAAUUUCAUUCUAGAUCUCACUAACUGCUGGAAUCGGUGUUUUAAUCUCUUAGUGGAAACUUUCGGUUGCUUGAUUCUGUAUUUGAGAAUUUUUUUUAUGUUCUCCAUCAUUUGUGUUGUAUUACAAUGCAUAUCGAAACAUAACCUGUGGACCCUGCUUUUCCACAACUUUUUAAGUUUAUAUACAUAUAUAUAUUAAAUGUGUGUGUGUAUAUAUAGAUAUAUAUAAUGUAUAAUAUAUAUUAAAUGAAUGCAACUUGCAUAAAUAUUUUUUAAGCACAACAGUGAACUAUUCACACCCUUUGAUAAUUGUUCUAGUCACUUGUUUUGGCAUAAAGAAUAAUCUCCAUAUCCUGUGAACAAUGUAUAAAUGUUACCUGGCCUUGCACUUAUAUGUAAUGCUAAUUAGUAUGAAAUCACAAACAGUAUUUUAAAUACAAAAGAAAAAGAUAUUCACUUUUUGAUAGAGCACAAGCCACGGCUCUCUAGGCUACAGGAAGGAUGGUGCCUUGGAGGCAUUCAAAGGUCAGGGAUUCUUUUUUUCCCCUCACUGUUGCAAAACAUGUGAAUCAUAGAACUUUAGAGCAAGAAUGAAUGUACCUAACCCCCAAAUUUUAUUUAACAGAUAAACAAAUUCAGGACCAGUGAGAUGAGUCAACUUGUCCAAGGUCACACAACUACUUGGUAGCAAAAACAAGAUUAGCAUGUAGGCCUUUUUCUCCUUCCAUAUAUCAGCCUUUCAAGGGUGUCCCAGAGUGAGCCAAACCAACUCCUGACAGGCCAGACCACUCAGUACUGCUUCCCUCUGCUGUAGUCUAUUUCUGCCUCACAGCAUAAAAUAAUUCAGGAGACGGCACAACUACUAAGAAAAUGCCAAGCAAAGAUAUUAAGUUUCUUUUUUUUAUUUUUUUAAAUUUUUUUAAAGAUUUUUUAUUUAUUUGACAGAAAGAGAUAGCCAGCGAGAGAGGGAACACAAGCAGGGGGAGUGGGAGAGGAAGAAGCAGGCUCCUAGCGGAGGAGCCUGAUGCGGGGCUCGAUCCCAGAACGCUGGGAUCACGCCCUGAGCUGAAGGGAGACGCUUAAUGACUGAGCCACCCAGGCACCCCAAGAUAUUAAGUUUCUAUAUGGUAAGAAAAAGUAAUGGCUUUCAGCCCUGGAACACUAGGAACCCAAGAUCAAAAAAACAUUAACCCAAGUAUGGCAGGAAUCAUGGCUAGAAUAAAAAGAAGUUUGGGAGAAUGGAAAGUAAGUUAGCUACAGGAAAAGGAGUCCUAGAAAUGUUCUUUGGCUCAGUUUUGAAUCAGCCCCUGGGUCUCAUCUCCACUGUGACUGUAUUAGUCUGGGAAGACCUAUACAGGAAGCUUCCGUCUUCUCAAAGAACACCAUAAAAUAAUCAUGAACAGAAUGUUGGUGGAAAUAUGGAUGGUAAAAACAUUGUGGUUUGGUUUCAGAUGAAAAUAAGGAACGCGUAACUGGAAACCGGAGGAAAGGCAAUCCUUGUUAUAAAACACUAAGAGCUUGA